UGGCUGUCUCAUUUGAUUGUCUGCAUCUU
rnacentral:piRNA from 1 species